rnacentral:ncRNA from 1 species
GCAGGUCUCAAGGUGAACAGCCUCUAGUCGAUAGAAUAAUGUAGGUAAGGGAAGUCGGCAAAUUAGAUUCGUAACUUCGGGAAAAGAAUUGGCUCUAAAGGUCGGGUCAGCCGGGCUGUUGUGUGAAACAGGCGGCUUUUGCCCGUGGCUGCGUGCCGUCUCCUUGCGGGGUGGUGCGUGGACUAGUGGUGAGAGCUGCUUGUGGAGCGCUUCAGCUGCGUGUAUGCUCGUCAGGGUAUGCACUUCGGUUGGCGCUGAACGACCAGUUUAGAACUGGCACGAACUCGGGGAAUCCGACUGUCUAAUUAAAACAGAGGAGACGGAUGGUCCUUGUGGACGUUGACCGUGUCUGAUUUCUGCCCAGUGCUCUGAAUGUUAAGCCAAGGAAACUUGAUUAAGCGCGGGUAAACGGCGGGAGUAACUAUGACUCUCUUAAGGUAGCCAAAUGCCUCGUCGGCUAACUACCGACGCGCACGAGGGAGGCGGUCUUGCAGAACGGGCCAAACCAUCACCUCCGGGGACUCUUGCACGCACCAAAACUCUCUGAUCUGU